rnacentral:misc_RNA from 1 species
AAGUCGUAACAAGGUUUCCGUAGGUGAACCUGCGGAAGGAUCAUUAUCAAAAGUCAAGUCGGGGGCUGCAAAGCCUUCGUCUACACCCAUGUCUUUUGCGUACUUCUUGUUUCCUCGGUGGCGCAAGCCGCCGAUUGGACAAACCAAAACCUUUUUUGUAAUUGCAAUCAACGUCUGAAAAUAAUCUAAUUAUUUACAACUUUCAACAACGGAUCUCUUGGUUCUG